rnacentral:rRNA from 1 species
UACGAGGGGAGCAAGCGUUGUUCGGAUUUACUGGGCGUAAAGGGCGCGUAGGCGGCCACGACAAGUCACUUGUGAAAUCUCCGGGCUUAACUCGGAACGGUCAAGUGAUACUGUCGGGCUAGAGUACAGAAGGGGCAACUGGAAUUCUCGGUGUAGCGGUGAAAUGCGUAGAUAUCAGGAGGAACACCGAUGGCGAAGGCAGGUCUCUGGGCCACUACUGACGCUGAGAAGCGAAAGCAUGGGGAGCGAACAGG